rnacentral:lncRNA from 1 species
CAAAGAGCCGUCAUGCUUGCACUAGCCAGAUUGUGUUUGGGGCACUGUGUUUCCACACCUGAGAGCAACAUCUUCAGUGGGACACUGUCCAAGAAAAUUUCAUCCUCAGAGUGUCCUGGAGGAAGAGCAUUCAGGAACCACUUUCUGUUUAUUAAAUCCUUCAUUCCUGCCCCAUGACUGAGAAAUGAGGACUGUAUUGUUUGGAUUUGAGAAGACUUAGCAGGGACUUGAGACCUCUCCACAAACAUGUUAAGAAACUUAAGCGAAAGAGAGUGUGUUUAUUCAGUUUUGCUCUAGAGAUCGAGAACUAGGAAGGCUCCUGGGUGUUCCGAAGAGGCAGCAGUUAGACUUCACAGAAAGAAGCCCUUGCUUCCUAACAAUUGCAGCAAAAAUUGAGAGUGAGCUCCUGUCAUUUGCAGCGUUCCAGAAUGGAUCUGAAAACUCCUCACCAGAGCCAAAUUCAAGAGGGAUAAAUGCUCAAUUUAAAUGUUCGUGUGUCAAGAUGGAAGCCCCAUAAAGGACAGGGUCUGGUCCUGUCACCCAGACUGGAGAGCAGCGGCAGAAUCUCAGCUCAUUGCAACCUCGGCCUCCCAGGCUCAAGUGAUCCUCCCACCUCAGCCUCCUGAGUACCUGGGACUAAAGAUGCAUACCACCAUGCCUGGCUAAUUUUUUGAAAUUUUUUUGUAGAGAUGGGUUUUUGCCAUGUUGCCCAGGCUGGUAUCAAACUCUUGAGCUCAAGCCAUCUGCCUGCCUCGAACUCCCAAGGUGCUGGGAUUCCAGGUGUCAGCCACUGCGCCUGGCCUAGAUUAUUAAUUAAAGGCUAGAAAGAGUAAAUAUCUAGCAUGUUUUAAAAACAUAACCUACAAAUAUAACUAUGCUACUGGAAGUAUGCAUAAUUUAACUACCCCUUCCCUUUUUGCUGAUUUGUUAGUCAUAAAUCUACAAAAGGCAUCUUUUAUUUUAUUUUUUUUAGAGACAGGGUUUGGCUCUGUCACCCAGGCAGGAAUGCAAUGGUGUGAUCAUAGCCCACUGUAACCUCAAACUUCCUGGGCUUAAGGGUUCCUCCUGCCUCAGUCUCCCAAGGAGCUAGGACUACAGGUACACGUCACCAUGCCUGGCUAAAUUUUUUUAAAUUUUUUUGUAAAGAAGAGGUCUUUCUAUGUUGCCCAGGCUGGUCUCAAACUCCUGGACUCAAAUAAUCCUCCUGCUUUGGUGCCCCAAAGCGCUGGGAUUUCAGGUGUGAGCCACCGUGCCUGGCCCAAAAGAGAUCUUUUUCAGGCACAGAUCACACCAGCUUUAAUUACUCGUGGAAAAAUCUACUUUGAUCUGAAAACUAUGCAUAUAACAUUAUUCAACAUAUUGUACUAUUUUAACCUUUAGAAGAAAUUAAACAUUAUACAAAUAUAAAAUUCUAUAAUGGUAUUGGAUAAAACAUCUAAAGCACAGAAGACUUUCAAAUAUAUCCUCCAUUUUAUAAAAGGCAAAAAAUUAGAUGAUAGAGGGAAAUUGAUUUGCAGAAACACACACAACCAACAAGCAUUAUAGCAGGCAAUAGCUUCCAAGCAUUUCACUCACUUCUUAGCAUAGAACACUCUCUGUAGGGAAGAUUAGAAACUGAAGGACAAAAAUACACUCACUCCAUUCUCUCUGCCUUUUCUUCUAUCAUUCCUCUUCUCCAUUUGCCCACAUACUCUGACCUCAAAAUUAUAAUUUAUUUAAUAAUGCAAAAGGCAAGAUUUAUUACUGGUUCUUUCUCACCCAUGAAAAUUAACUAACUUCUUUUAAAUAAGGUACAAAAAGGAAAUAAUAAAAUGAAGGUAAUGUUGCUCAUCAAUAAGUAGAUAGUACUGACUUCUUCUGGAUAUAUCUAUCGAAUAAGAAUCUAAGUUCACUCUAUUGCCAAAAUAAUUUAAAUCCCAUGGUCGAAAAGGAACAUAAACUCUUCAUUGAUUUAUGGGCCUCAUAUCUUCUGGGAUGUGUCACCAAUUUAUGUGCUAUAUCCUGGGGUGUUAGCACCUGGGGUUGGAUAGAGGUGAAAGAUAAUGGCUUGUAAACAGGCAGCUCCCUGUUGACAACUCGCCUCAGGAAGCUCUUGCCAUUCGCCAUAUAUUUCAGAAAUUGUAUGCAGAAAGCUGUGCUUACAAAUGCGCUACAGGAAAGGUCAGCUCUGGAAAAUUUCAGACAUUUCUGAAACAUGCAUAUAGCAACCUGAUUAUACUACACUUAGUCAUGGUAUCUAGAUUUGAGAUAAAAAUAAAAUUACAGCAAGAAACGAUUUAAAAGUGUAAAAUUUUGCAUCAUAGGCAGCUAACGUACCAUUUUCAUUUAAAGAGUAAUCGAAGGGUCAAUAAUGAAUGGUGACAAUCUGAUAUUACGAUGUGAAGUGAUAGUGACAUCUGGCCACGUUAGUUAUUAGAAGAAACAAAGAAUUUUCAUAAUGUUUAUAUUUUGUAUUAAAUGGAAGUUGAUUCAGCCCUACCCUAACAUUUAGAUAUGAUGUCAUGGAUAUUCAUAAUUUGGUGCUGAACAUUCAUGGGUAAGCCUGCCAAGGCCACUGGAGACAUUUCCCAACAGUUCUGCUCUCAGGCUGGCACAGGGGACCAGCAGGUGCGCCAAUGCCCUGACUCCCUUAACCCUCUCUCACGACAGACUUCUCACUCUCAUGGCAGUGAAAUAGCAGGUAAUGAUCGACUUCACCUGAACCAGUGGUUUCAAAGUUUUUCAGGGCCAGAGAUCUCCUCGUUUAAAGAAAGUUCACAUAUCUAUAGAAAGAGAGGUUUCUGAUUUAUUUAAAAAAUAAAUAAAUCUCACAAGAAAGCUAAAACAUUGAAGGCUUGAGUUUUCCCUGGAGCUGCUUGCUAGAGCUCUGAGGAAAAAAUAUUCUUUACCUAGAAAGGACAUGAAACUUCAUGAACUCAAAUUUUAAAGCACAUGAUCCAUUAAGAAAAAGUUGACAAAUUGGGCUUCAUCAAAAUGUAUAACUUUUGCUCUUUAUACACUAUUAAGAAAGUGACAAAACAAGACACGAACCAGGAGAAAGUGUUUGUAAAUCAAAGAUCUGAUAAAGGAUAUGUACAGACUAUUUAAAAAAUUCCCACAACUCAAUAUAAGAAAACUCAAUAAAAUGUAAAAUAUAUUACUGGUUUGAAUAGGCUUUUCAUCGUAGAAGACAGAUGAAUGGCUAAUAAGCACUUGAAAAGAUGCUCAAAUCAUUAGUCAAUAGGGAAACAUAAAUUACAAUACCGUGAAAUAACACUAUACAUCCACUACAAUGGUUAUUGUCCAAAAGACUGACAACACAGGUGUUGGUGAGGAUGUGAAGAAACUGUAACCUCAAAUGUUGCUGGUGGGAAGAUAAAAUGGCACAGCCACUUUGGAAAACAGUUUGGCAGUUUCCUAUAAAGUUGAACACACACUUACCAUAUAACUUAGUAAUCUCACUCCUAAGUCUUUACCCAAGAGAAAUGAAAACACAUGUCCAUACAAAGCCUUGAAAGCAAAUUUCACGGCAGAAUUAUUUAUAAUAGCCCCAAACAGGAAAUAAUCCAAAUGUCCAUCAACUGGUGAAUGGAUAAACAAAAUGUGUUAUAUUCAUACUAUAAAAUGGGACAUUAUGCAGACAGGGAGUAAACAUUGCAAAGCGUCUGAAAAAGGACUUGUAUCUAGAAUACACAAAAAACUCUUCUAAGUCAGUAACCCAGUUGACAUCUCUCUUCCUCAACGUGACUUCUUUAAACACUCUGGCCCAUCACAAUUGCUUCAUUCCCCGAAUUUACUGUCAAUAACCUCCACUGGGUGUUUUUCUUGUAAAAUAUUUCAGAUGAGCUCCUGGUGGUGGUGAGGGAGUAUAACUGCAUCAGUGUGGAGCAGCAUAAUACAUCAGUGGGCUGGGAUGGGAUGUGACUUCCCAAAGCUGAGAUGGGCUCACUGAUGAGAGAUGUCUGCCACUGUCUUGGCCACUUGGCCCAAAACUCCAGAGCACCUCAAAGUGUAGACACCGACGAAGAUCCAAAAUUGCUUCCCAAGAUCCCAUAGCUGAAAAAGUUUCUGGGAAUGGCUUUUUUCUUAGUCUUUCCAACUUCCUUGGGUAUUGUAUUUUGCCUCCAGAACAUCCAUGUCACUCCUCCUACAUCUGUGUUUACACAUCUCUGAAUCCCCCAUGAUGCCUAACACAGUGUUCAACACAUAGCUCAGAACGGACAACAUCACUGGAUACUCCCAAACAUGGAGUGGAUUUGGCUCAUGGUGCCCGCUGCCCAUGGGUUUAAGCAGGCUCACCCAUGAAUAUUCAGCACUGAGAAAAGAUGAUGAAGUCCUGGAAAUUAAUAACACUGCUCUCAAGUUCAAGGUAGUUAUUUUGAUUCUUUAGGCUGAAGAUGAAAUGCUAUACCUGAGUCUCUCCUGGAAAGAAAAAAGUGGGAAGGAAGUGCCAGGAACCUGUCCUUUGGGAAUAAGUUCCCAAUGCCAAUCACCUUGAGAUAACUGCCAGCACAGAAAAUAAGAGAAAUACCCUCAAGUGAGGGAGGUAUAUAUUUGAAGAAAAACGUAACUGUCAGUCUGUCUUUGUGGCAACUACUGAAUCUCCUGCAUGGGACAUCAGGGCAACGACAUACUUUCUCCAGAGGAUCCCCAGUGAUGAGUGGAAACUGUCGCUAUGAUGCCUACAGAAUUGGGGUCAGUGAGACACACACAAUUCGUAAAACAAAGGAACAAGAUGCAACUGCAACUUGAGUAAAGGCUUCAACAUUUCAUUCCUAUGUCCAAGGCUGUAAUGUAAAAAGUCAUAUGAGUUACACAAAAGGAAAUAAAAUUCUAGGACCUGGGAAGUACCACCUCCAUGGACUUCAGAGACAGUUCACGAAACUUGUAAGACUAGUCAGGACCCCAGUGAAAGGCACAAGGUUUACAGAGUUGAUGAAUCAAAUGAAACCUGACCUUAAUUAGGAGCCCCUGCCCAAUAACUGCAGGUUUAUUCUUCAAAGGCAUAACCAGAUUCUAUGCCUCUAAAAUGGCCUUCAGAUUCUAUGAUUAUUUCUUCUUAGUAGACUCCUAGCCAAUAUGGUAAUAUUGUUUCCCCUUGAUUGGGCAAAGUCUAUCUACUUAUCUAUCGAUCUUAUGUAAAUUGUGUUUAUAAAGGUGCAUCUGUGUUCUGUAAAUAUUAUACUGGUUUACAUACUGUUUUUGAAAAUGUCUGAAAUAGGAGAAUUCAAGCUAACUAAUGUCUGAUUUAUUAAAGUUAUGGGCAUUAAAUGCCUAGAAAAAUUGUGACAUUUGUGAGAAAUGUAUAUAUUAAAUUUAUAAUCAUAGUUAAAAUGUCCAAGGAAAUUUGGCUACAUAAACAUAACGGUUAGGAUUUGAUUUAUGCAUCAUGUGAACAUUAAUCAAGGAACAAAUGAGUUUGUUCUUUUUUUAUGCAAAUAUUAGAUUUAUAAAUAAAAUUUGUCAGAUAAAUUUAAACAUUUAGAAAAGUAAAUUUAGACACUCUUUUACAUGUAUAAAAGGUUUCCCUCGUAACUAAAAAUUAACUGGAAUUUGGUGAAGCCUUUCAUCUCACGGAUUCCCAACUCCACAGUCAAGAUAGAAAAGCGAGAGAACCCUAAAGAGUGAAAGGCCAUGUGGGCCAUGCCUGCAGACCUCUAAACCAAAGAAAGUUUCCAAAGCCUUCUCUGGCAAAUGUCCACUGAUUCCAAAAGAACCAGAACUUCCUGGCAGGGAGGGGGAGAGGGAAGAGGAGAAGGGCAGCCCUCUGGAGCACACAUAACACAAAUGGUCUGGGAUGGGACAGGGCUUCCAAAGCUGAGGUGAGCUCACUGACAAGGGGUAUCUGCCAAUGCCAUAUAUGCAUGGCUACCUGACCUGAACAUCUAGGACACCUCAAAAUCUAGGAGGCAAGAGGGAUCCAACAAUGUUUCCCGGGAUCCCACAGUAGAGAACGUUUCUGGGAACAACUCUGUUCUAGUUUCUCAAACCCACUUGGAUAUUUUCUUUUGCCUCUGGAAUACCCAGAUCUCUCCUACACCUAUGCUUGCCAAGCGAGGGCUUGUGCGGGGCUCAACACUGAAACGGGUUUUACACCAUGUCCUACUGGAUCUGUGUUUUCCCUUAGAGCAGGCACAGCGUCUUCUACCUCAGCUGCACUAAGCCACAAAGAGCAGAACUUCUAAGGCAAUAAGCAAUGGAACAAGGGGACUAACCUGCAAUCAGGACCUACCUCUGUCACCGUGUAUUUUGAGGAGCUUUUGUGCGACUUGGCAAGUAACACGUCUGUGAAAUGAGUGUGAACUUACUCUGGAGCAGGGUUUGUUACAGAAAGCCACUGAAAUAACACUGAAAAAAUACACUCAGAAAACACAAGCAUAAAUGUAGGGAACUAGGCUAUUAUAAAGUCUAAAAGAUGCUGGGACUACCUUAUAGCAAGUGGGAAUGAUAAAUGGACCCAGCAAAAUCUCACAAGUACAGGUUCUCAUCUAAUCUGACAAGUAGGCAUGAAGUUCUGAGGACACAUCUUCUAACUCCAAAUUUCAAGACCAGAAAAGGUUAGUAUAAACUAGAUGGGAAGGAAAAAGAAAAAAAAAGUUCUACAUACUAAAGUUAAUAUUCUAAAAAAUUGGACUUUUCCUACUAUAUGUCAGGCAUUUAGUUUAUUUGCUCCUUUCAAAUUAGUAGGGGAAAAAAACUGGGGCUGGAAAAUUUAAGCAAACUGCCUUUAUGUGAGAAAAAAACAUUGGCUGCAAGAACCUCAGUUUGCAUUGCACAGCCCUCAAAACUAAAGGCCAUAACUACUCACCCCCAGAAUCUUGAAGAGUAUUGUUUUCAUGCUUCUUUCACAUUUCAACCAAAGCUGAAAAAUGUAGCCAGUCCUCAUGGAAAUUUCAGUGAUGGACUCCUGCUAUCAAAUUUCUAAAUGGUCCUGUUUCUCUUCUCAUGCCCAGUGGUGAAUGUUAAGUGAGAACUCAAGUGUCCACCGUACCAUUCUCCUCCCUCAAAGUGAGCUCAAAGUUCAGAGGAAAGGAAGCAGUCAUCACUCUACUGUAAACAGGUGCAUGCUAGAGGAUCCCAGGUUUUGGCAGAGGCUAACAGAGACCCUGGAAUCUUUAUGCUCAUUGAGUACUUUCAGGUGGGCAACUUUCAUGCCCAUCAAAAUAGUGGAAGGCAAAAAAAUUCAUCAGAAGUGUGUCCCAAUUUCAUAGACUGACAGAUGGAGGUGUGUAAUAAUACACCUUUUAUUACUUCCCUUGACAGCUACAGAUUGCAUGUGGAGUUUAACUGGGCUGAUACACACAUUUUGCAGGUGCAUUGUUGAGAAAGAAUUUUUUGCACAUUUUUUCUGGCUAGCACAGAAAUAAAGUACCUAGGUAGGGAAAGACAUUUCCUGAUAGUUCAAAGAGCGUUUCUCCUUACUGCUCCAAAUGCUCUCUCCAGUCACAUAACGCUAACGUAAGCAUUUUUAACGCCUGCCAAAAUUCUCAAACAUGGAUAGGCCAGCCUGCAUUAAAGGAUUCUCAUCUGUUGGGUUUAUGAAAUGAUUUGUAAUCAUCAACUCUAUAAAUAUGGGAAUGUAACUUUCUUUACUAAAGCAUCAGGCUCCAUAAGGGACUCUAUUUGUGUCAUACAUAGAUAAAUAGCUUGGGAUGAUUAAACUUGAUAUCCUAAAUUUGAUUUUCAUAGGAAACUGAAAUUGCACUGUACCCUUAAAGCAGUUCUAGUUAACCAGUACCUGAGGCUUAGAGAACUAGUUCUUCAGUAGCCAGUAACAUUGGGGUCACACUACAUUUGAUGAAUAAUUUGAUGAAUAAUUCUUCCCAGUGGCACUCACAUCUGAUAUGCACAUUGUGUGGAUUAGAGAGUUUUUGGACAAACAGAAGAAAAACAUCAUUUUCUACCACCAGUUGCUCAUGCUACAGGUAUAUCACCUAAUGAAAACAAGAUUUCUCUGAGGAAUGUGAAAUGUAGUUAGUGUUUUCACCAUAUAAUUAUUCUGCCACGAUCUUCAAGAUACUGAGACAGAAACAAACCUGAUUACAUUUUUUUUUUACGUCCUGAUGAAACUUUCCAUUAGGGUACUGAGCAGGGUACCCAUCUCCCAGACAACAGUUCUGAUGUAGAUGAAUUAUCAAAAGUGGAAGUGGGAUGAUCUUAGCAAUUAAAUCCAUGACUUAAAUAAUGGUGUGUGGGGCUGGGCACCGUGGCUCAUGCCUGUAAUCCCAGCACUUUGGGAGGCUGAGGCAGAAGAUUAAGUUGAGCCCGGGAGUUCAAGACCAGCCUGGGCAACAUGGUGAGACCCCAUCUCUACAAAAAUAUCUUGGGACUUCUCAGCCUCCAUAAUCACAGAGCCAAUUCCUUAUCAUCUCUUUCUACAAGUGUAUCUCCUAUUGGUUCCGCUUCUCUGGAGAACCCUGCCUAAUACAAUAUUAUAAGGGGAAAAAAACUUCCCCUAUAGAGUCAGCAAUAGUGAGCUGAGGAAGCCUCAUUCAUCACCAAAGUAAGAGAGGGAAGAGGCUACAGCAGCUAACAACGGUGACACUGUUAGAAAGUAUAUGGAACUUGAAACACAACACGAUUGAAUUAUUCCUACUAGGAGCCUGGAACGGGGAACCAAGAAGGCAAGAGAUUAGGAUAUUGCAGUGGGGAGCACAAAAGGAGGAAAGAUCAGACAAAAUAGAGAAGACCUGCACAAAGAUGAAUUCAGUUUUUGUUUUGUUUUUUUCCUGAAGAAGUUAUUAGGCCAAUGGCAGUGGCUCACAACUGUAAUCCCAGCACUUUGGGAUGCCGAGGCGGGAGGAUCACUUGAGCCCAAGAGUUUGAGACCAGCCCGGGCAACGCAGUUCGACACCAUCUCUACAAAAAAAUUAAAAAAAAAAAAAAAUUAGCCAGGCAUGGUGGCACAGGGCUGUGGUCCCAGCUACUCAAGAGGCUGAGGCGAGAGGAUCACCGGAGCCCAGGAGCACAAGGCUGCAGUGAGCUGUGAUCACACCACUGCCCUCCAGCCUAGGCGACAAAAUGAGGCCCUGUCUCAAAAAAGAAAAAAGAAAAAAAAGACAUUACUAUUCACCCACAUUUAGAUAGAUGCGUCCUUUCCAAUCUAUGUGAAUUCAUGCCACUCCAUGGUACCUGCCCCCCUCCAGGGCAACAGUUGUGGCCACAUGGGCAUAUGCAACUGCUGUUAAGCCUCAAAUCCUUAUCAAAAAUGCUAAGUGACAGCUAACCAAGCUGUAAAGAGUUUUGCUUUUUCAUUCUCAUUGAUUUAAAUGGCAUGCGCUCCAGAAAACUCUUCUGCGGGUUAGCUUCUGUGUUCUUCUCACAACACUCAAGUGUACUUAAAAUCAUAUUUGUUCUGGUUCACAGAGGAAGGAAAUGGAGGGUGUCAAAGGAAAGACUUGCAGGAUUUCAAACAUUACAGGAUCACAGACAUUCUUUUCCAAUGUAAAGACAUUCCAGGAAAGCCUCAAACUGGCAUGGUGUGUAUAGGCUUAUGAUGUAAAAGAGAAUUUAGGGUUCAUUAAUUCCUAUCAUGGCUAAAGACCUCACUGUUUUACCUGUUUAACUGUGCUCAGGUUUUGAAAUUAGUGCUCAGAAGUCUUUCAUCCCACCACCACAGUGUUCCUCACCAAAAGGUCUUCUGUCUUUUGCCAGCUCAAUAUUCACAGUCUUCACAAGAGAAGGCUAAUUCUGAAACAACUAUGUAGCCUGCACAGGGCUGGUGAAAGUCCAGGGGCCUCAUUCUACCAAUGGCUUUUCAUGCCUCUCUUGCUCCUGCAUAUCCCUUCUCCUAUUGCUUUAAAUGUCCUUUCUUCCCCAGGGUUAAGAGUGGAAGUUCUAGAGACGGAUUACAUGUAAUCAAAUACUGUUUCUGAAACUUCUUAAUUAUGUGUGACCUUGAGACAAUUAUUCACCAUGUUGUGCCUCAGUUUCCUCAACAGCAAAAUGUGAAAAAUUAUAGUGCCUAGUGUGUAGGGUUAUGAGGAUGAACUGAGUUCAUGGUUCCAGUUCUUGGAGCAGUGCCUGGAACAUGGUAAAUGUCAGUAAGUGUUACUUAUUCUUCCAGCCCCAACAGGUGGUAGAUUGCUUGUAGUUCAAGUAUAGAACCACAUGGGUUCUAGACAUGGGUCCACGGUAGAGAAAGCAUCCAUUUACCCGCCUACCUCCCACCAAGACUGAGCAAGGAUUACAUCUUCUUUCUCUUUAUGUUUCCAGCACCUAGUGUGGUAAGUAAGUGACACACAGCAGGUAUUCAGUGAAUGCAGAUUGAGUGCUUGAAGGGAUGACUAAUUCUAACAAGGGGAGUAUGUCACCUAAGGGAUGCUGUUUAUGAAUAACAGUGGCAAUGCAGUAAAGGGAAACUCCAGCUAGAACCCUGGUAAGAAACACAAUUCACUGUUCUGGGAUUUUUAAAUAACUUACAUUCAUUUGCUUUAAAAUCUUUCAAAUAAGGUCACUUUUGUUUAUAUACUUGCCAUUCUUACCAGCAUAGAGAGAGGUAAGUAUAACAAAACUAACUGAAUCAAUGUUUCUUCAACACCUGGAGACCAAAAUCCUAGAAACUGUCUUUAGCAAUUUCAAAAGGUUACAUUUAAUUUUCAAGUGCACAUAAUACACAAUUAUGACUAUUAAAAAGUCGCUGAAAAUAUCUUUCCAAAUACAAACAAAAGCAAAGCAUCAACAGAGACCCAGAAUGAGGCAGAAGUGAUGACUACAUUAUUAAGGGUCAGCUCCCCAAACUCACACACCCCCCGAAAGGAGAAGGGAUAACAGGAUCAGCACCAGACUAACUCACUCUCCUCUCAGUCACGAGAUUUGAUUUCGGUGUCAAAAAAAACCCUCUGUGGAAAGUGCUCUUCUUGUGAAAACACCCUUCUAAAAAGCAAGCCCUGAAACAAAGUCAGUCAUUACCCUGGCACACGUUCACUAGUUCCUCAGAAUGAGCCCCAAGGUGUUUGCUGAGGGGACAGAGGAAGGAGGAGAUGGAGACAGACCAACAAGACAGCCAGACACACACACACGCGCACGCACACACACACACAGAGUUCUAGUCUCCGCCACAGUAACGAAACUACUUAAAUGCCACAGCCUUUCUUCUGUGUGACUUUUGUUACUCCCAUGUGGAAUAUCCAAAGAUUUAAAUACACUGUCGAGUCAGAUUAAUCAAAGCCACAUUCUCUAGUUAAGCAUAAAGAAAAGAAAGUCAUAAAAGAAUUCAAAUUUGUUCACAUCUUGUAACAGGAAAGAAUAGGUGGAUUCAUAUCUGCUAUGGUUUGAAUAGGUCCCAUCCAAAAUUCAGGUGUUGCCAAUGUGAUAGUAUUAACAGGUGGACCUUUAAGAGGUGAUUAGGUCGUGAGGGCUGCUCCCUUAUUUCUUGGCCAAAUAACGUUUGGCCAAAAAAAGAAUGUGGGAAGAUCAGUCUAAGUUCACCUGGAUAUUAUUUAGAAUGAUAAAGUCUAUGAACCAAGUGAAUGAGCUACUCAAAAAGCCAAAAGAAAAAUUCUGAAGGGCUCAGUUACUUUGGUUUUUUUUUUUAAAUUACUCUGGGUAGCAGGCACUCAAGGAAGCCUACUUACCACGAUAUCCUCAGGAAAUGUGUCU